UACAACAACAAGUCAAGCAACAGGGCGCC
rnacentral:sRNA from 1 species